AAAACAUGUCCUUUUGUUUUUAAAUAUGAGGUCUGACCUGCCCAAUGAUUUUUAUAGUUCAAUGGCCGCGGUAUUUUAACUGUGCUAAGGUAGCAUAAUCAUUUGUCUUUUAAUUAAAGGCUAGAAUGAAUGGUUGGACGAGGUAUUGGCUUUCUUUAACUUGGAUUAUUAAAUUUAAUUUUUUAGUCAAAAAGCUAAAAUGUAUUUGAGGGACGAGAAGACCCUAUAGAUCUUUAUAUUUAUUAUUUAUUAUAUAUUAUGGUAAAAUGAAUUAUUUUAAUAAAUUUAAUUAUUUGGUUGGGGCGACUGUAGAAUUAUAAUAACUUCUAUUUUACUUAUUCAUUAAUUAAUGUUUGAUUGAUCCAUUAUUAGUGAUUAUAAAAUUAAGUUACCUUAGGGAUAACAGCGUAAUUUCCUUGAAGAGUUCUUAUCGAUAAGGAAGUUUGCGACCUCGAUGUUGGAUUAAAAUAAGUAUUAGGUGCAGUAGCUUAAUCACUAGGUCUGUUCGACCUUUAAUUUUUUACAUGAUCUGA
rnacentral:rRNA from 1 species